AAAAAAAUUUAUGAUUUAAAAAAUUUUUUUUGAGUUAAAUUUACGUGAAAAUUUGUGUGAGAAUUUUAGUGUAUUUAAAAAAUAUAGUAUUUAUAUUCACAGUAUUUAAAAUUAAAAAUUUAAGAAAUUAAGAUUGAGGUAUAUAUGAAAAUAAAUAACAAAUUGUGCGCCAGCAGGUGGCGGUUACACAAAAAUUUAAAAAUAAUUUUUAUUGAUAAAAAUAAAUAAUAAAUUAAAUUUAAAAUUAUUAAGUGAAAUUUUAAUUUUAUGAAAAUUUAUAUAUUAAUUAUGAAUUUAAAAAUUUUAUAAAUAAACUAGGAUUAGAUACCCUAUUAUAGAAAAUUAAUUAUAUAAUAUUAAAAUAGUAAUUAAUUAUUUAUUGAAACUUAAAUAAUUUGGCGGUAUUUUAGUUCCUUUAGAGGAAUCCGUCUAUUAAUUGAUAAUCCCCGAAUAAACAUAUUUAAUUUAAAAUUUUAUAUAUCGUUGUAAAAAAAAUAUUUUAUAAAAAAAAAAUAAUAUUUUAAAAUUUGAAAUUGAGAUUAAUUCAGAUCAAGAUGUAGAUAAUAAUUAAAUUUAAGAUGGAUUACAUUAUAAUUAUAUAAGUGGAAAUUAAAUUUAAAAUAAUUAUUUGAAAUUGGAUUUAAAUGUAAUUUUAAAUAGUUUUUUAAAAUGAUUAAAAAUUGAAAUAUGUACAUAUUGCCCGUCACUUUCAUUUAAAAAUUGAAAUAAGUCGUAACAAAGUAGGGGUACUGGAAAGUGUUCCUAGAAAGA
rnacentral:ncRNA from 1 species